rnacentral:rRNA from 1 species
AUGGACGCAAGUCUGAUGGAGCACGCCGCGUGAGUGAAGAAGGGUUUCGGCUCGUAAAGCUCUGUUGGUAGUGAAGAAAGAUAGAGGCAGUAACUGGCCUUUAUUUGACGGUAAUUACUUAGAAAGUCACGGCUAACUACGUGCCAGCAGCCGCGGUAAUACGUAGGUGGCAAGCGUUGUCCGGAUUUAUUGGGCGUAAAGCGAGUGCAGGCGGUUCAAUAAGUCUGAUGUGAAAGCCUUCGGCUCAACCGGAGAAUUGCAUCAGAAACUGUUGAACUUGAGUGCAGAAGAGGAGAGUGGAACUCCAUGUGUAGCGGUGGAAUGCGUAGAUAUAUGGAAGAACACCAGUGGCGACGGCGGCUCUCUGGUCUGCAACUGACGCUGAGGCUCGAAAGCAUGGGUAGCGGACAGGAUUAGAUACCCUGGUAGUCCAUGCCGUAAACGAUGAGUGCUAAGUGUUGGGAGGUUCCGCCUCUCAGUGCUGCAGCUAACGCAUAAGCACUCCGCCUGGGGAGUACACCGCAAGGUUGAAACUCAAAGGAAUUGACGGGGGCCCGCACAAGCGGUGGAGC